rnacentral:rRNA from 1 species
UACGAAGGGGGCUAGCGUUGUUCGGAAUCACUGGGCGUAAAGGGCGCGUAGGCGGCUUUUCAAGUCGGGGGUGAAAGCCUGUGGCUCAACCACAGAAUUGCCUUCGAUACUGUUAGGCUUGAGACCGGAAGAGGUGAGUGGAACUGCGAGUGUAGAGGUGAAAUUCGUAGAUAUUCGGAAGAACGCCAGUGGCGAAGGCGGCUCACUGGUCCGGUACUGACGCUGAGGUGCGAAAGCGUGGGGAGCAAACGGG